rnacentral:rRNA from 1 species
UUCAACUUGAGAGUUUGAUCCUGGCUCAGAACGAACGCUGGCGGCAGGCCUAACACAUGCAAGUCGAGCGAAGACUUCGGUCUUAGCGGCGGACGGGUGAGUAACGCGUGGGAAC